rnacentral:rRNA from 1 species
UACGUAGGGCGCAAGCGUUGUCCGGAAUUAUUGGGCGUAAAGAGCUCGUAGGCGGUUUGUCGCGUCUGUCGUGAAAGCUUGGGGCUUAACCCCAAGUCUGCGGUGGAUACGGGCAGACUAGAGGCAGGUAGGGGAGAACGGAAUUCCCGGUGUAGCGGUGAAAUGCGCAGAUAUCGGGAGGAACACCGGUGGCGAAGGCGGUUCUCUGGGCCUGUACUGACGCUGAGGCACGAAGGUCAGGGGAGCAAACGGG